rnacentral:rRNA from 1 species
UACAGAGGUCUCAAGCGUUGUUCGGCUUCAUUGGGCGUAAAGGGUGCGUAGGUGGCGUCGUAAGUGGGGUGUGAAAUCCCGGGGCUUAACCCCGGGACUGCAUUCCAUACUGCGGUGCUUGAGGACUGGAGAGGAGACUGGAAUUUACGGUGUAGCAGUGAAAUGCGUAGAGAUCGUAAGGAAGACCAGUGGCGAAGGCGGGUCUCUGGACAGUUCCUGACACUGAGGCACGAAGGCCAGGGGAGCAAACGGG